rnacentral:rRNA from 1 species
UACGUAGGGUGCAAGCGUUGUCCGGAAUUAUUGGGCGUAAAGAGCUUGUAGGCGGUUUGUCGCGUCUGCUGUGAAAUUUCGGGGCUCAACCCCGAACUUGCAGUGGGUACGGGCAGACUAGAGUGUGGUAGGGGAGACUGGAAUUCCUGGUGUAGCGGUGAAAUGCGCAGAUAUCAGGAGGAACACCGAUGGCGAAGGCAGGCCUCUGGGCCAUAACUGACGCUGAGAAGCGAAAGCAUGGGGAGCGAACAGG